GCCGGAGUAGCUCAGAGGUAGAGCAGUUGAUUCGUAAUCAUCAGGUCGGGGGUUCAACUCCCCCCUCCGGCUCCA
rnacentral:tRNA from 1 species